AAAAAAAAUAUCUUUGUUUAAAAAAAAAAGAUGGAGUUUAAAAAUAGAAUAGAAAUGAGUAGAAUUUAUACGAGAGGGUUCGGGUAGGAAAAUAAAUUUGCGACGUCUAAAAAUUCUUAGACUCUAGCUCACAAAAAGUACGAUACGGCUUAUUGUAUUUUAUGUAUGUAUAACGAGCGUAAAGUGAAGUUGUAUAUAAAUAGAAAAUGAGGGAGAUGGAAGAUUUUUUUUCUACUUGUAAUUCAUCAGCAAUAGCCAAUAUACGAAAAGAAAGGAAAGGAGAAUAAAUGACUAAGAGGGAGGGGUAGAUAGAUAGAUAGAUAGAGGAAUAAAGAUAGGGAGUAAGAGAAAAAGGGGGAAGAAGGAAAAAAAUGAGAAAAAGAACAAAUUAUUCUGAAUAAUUCGUUCUUUUUUCCUGCAAGUUUUGCAGUAUGAUCAAAUUAAAUAUUUAUACUUUUGAGGAUAUUGCUGAAAAAAAUUUGCGUUAUUAGUUAUACUUACGAUAGCAUUUAGACUGCGAAUGGGGGAGGGGGAAAGUGACAUAAAAAUUUGGACGAAGAUAAGAAAUGAGCUGUAUCAUCCGACAGCAUCAAGUGUGCGAGAAAAACUGCAAUAGAGGGCCAACUACAGAGGGCUCUGCAUCUUUACAGCCAAAACUAGAUUGACUCAAUCGAUGCAGUAUUGCUGCCGCCGUUGCGGUCGGCUCUAUUUCUGUAUACGCGCGAACGCUUCAUACUUUUGCAUCGCUGUCUAAAUUGGUCGAUAAGCGCCAAAUUUAUUUAUAUAGCGUAUAUAUAUAUGAUAUAGGUUUAUAAAAUUAGACCAAGCUAGCUCCUCUCCUAAUUAGGGCGUAUAUGCAUAUGCAAUUUUUUUGCUGAAAACGUCAUUAUGCUGUAUCGGACCGACCCAUAAUCCCCAACUGCAAAUGGCAGGAAUUGCAGAUUUUUUGGCGAUUGCCAAUUUUCUACGCAUUUUUAUAGCUCAUGUUUACAAUCGAGAAAAGAAGUAGGAAACGGUCGACGUUUGCAUUCGACAUUUGUUUGUCAGCGCUUGAUUCGAUUUACUGCGCUCGCCCUAUUCACUUUACGUAUUCGACGGUCACGUGACGAUUUUAGUUUAUUUCGAUGAGAUGACCAGUAACUGAAAAUUCAGACAUGACAAGUUCACUUAGUGAUUAGUACGAAUGACAUUAAACAACAGAAUUGUACGGUGUAAGGAUUAAUUUAAUAUAGAGAUAUCGCUCUAUUUCGUGUAUUCCCCAGAACACACAAAUUAACGCUACCCAUUGAUUACUUUUAUGUAUUUUACGAUCUCAACCAAAGGCAAUUACUGAUCGUCCUAUCUGCGGAUAAAUCAACUUAUGCAUUUUGAUGCGCUUUUAUGCUGGUAUUGUUACUGCUUGUUUUGGGACAUACCAAGAAGUCCGGGAUAUUCAUCUGUCAUUGUGCAGAUCGAUCAGAUACGAAACUAUAUAUCUAAUCUUAAGCAGUCUAGGCGUUUCUUUCUCAGCCUAGUAAAUAUACGCGUUCGACCGUCCAACUGGAACGGUUUUGCCGUUGCGACGCCGAAAAUCAGCAAGGGAUAUCUUGACCUAAUUAGGCAAUUCUAUUGCUGUCUACUAUUUGAAUUUGCUCUCCUUUUUCCCUUUAUAAAGCUCUUUAUUUAGCGGGAAUUUUGCACACGAGUCGAAUCUAGCAUAUAAAUUAGGAUUAAAUUGCUUUGCAGAGGAUGGAUGCUGUUUACAGUCCAACAGGUGGCGUUAGAAAGCAAUAGCUAUCGAUAGGUGGCGUGAGUUAUGUUGCGUUUGCGGAAAAAUACCUUGGGAAAACUAAAUAAUGUAAAUGCACGUUUUGCUGACAAUUCCAUCCCCUGAAAACGUGUUAAUUAAUUACUAAUUAAAAGCUUACCCUUAUUUUGUAAUGUGCGCAUUUUGUGUGCAAAUGUCUUUAUAAGAAGGCAUUUUAAUUAUCUUUUCAUUUUUGUGCUGUUUUUUUUGUCCAAGUUUUAGAAGAUGCUGCGCAUAAACACGACAUACUUCUUUACAUUCCAUAACUCUUAUAUGGAGUGUAAAUAAGUACGGGGCAUUAAGUGCGCUGAAAUAGGUUCAAUCCUUCGUACUCGAAUGCUUGUAGCAGACUCAGGCAAACCUCUGUCUUAUCUUAACGGUUUCGGGUUAGGUUUCAACCACGUGAUACAAAAUGGCGUUCCGGUUCCUCGUUUUUUUAACAUCCAAAAUAUUUCCUUUAAAAAUAGAACAAUGGUAAAAAAUUAAGACAUUUAUCUGCUUAUUUCACACCAUUUGUAGUUCUUUUUACUGACUUUUAAACUAAAGUACUUUUUUAUGGUGCAUUUCUUAGGUAGCUCAAGUUAAUGAAAACGUUAUCGAAAUCGUAAAAUCGCUAUUAGUUUUACUUUAAAUACAUCUUUAACUUAAGUUUGAUAGUCUAAAAAUACAGCCACCCAAUGUUUGGAUGAAUGGGCUGCUGCUUAAAGUUAUCUUGGUACAAACGAGGGCGCGGCAAAAGUUUGGUGUUCUAAAAAUAGACUCGAAUUAGAAUAUCAGAUAGCCAAAGACUCAAAUUUUAUGGCCGAUACAGUUAAACAAAAUCGCACAAACUUACAUCAAAUUCGGUUCCAUUCUGUUUCAAAUGAACACUAAAAGAUUAGAGUUCACUGUUUGAACAGUUCAAAUUGAUUUUGACUUUUCAACGCCGUCCGCCGAGGUCGAAUGAAGGCGAUAGCAACAGCGCGGGUCGUUGUCUAAUCUGCAUAUUAGACUGGUUUCCGCUUUUUCCAUCUCUCUGAUUGGUCCAAAGUUUUUUUUUUCGGGAUUUCUCGGCGAUGAGAUGUAUGAGUAAUCUGUUAAUGUAUACGGUUUCAAUUUGGUUCGUAAACAGCAAAAAAAACCGCGCGAAAAACGCUAUGAAUUUAGUUACGUAUAUAAACUUAUUUUUGCGGUUGGUCUUUGAUCUAUGAUGAUUUUUUAAAAAUAUUAUAUAAAAAGUACUGAUAAGAGGGUGCCAAAAAGGGUUCUGAAUUUGAAAGUUGUUUGUACACCGUUUGACGUCCUCUAACGACACUUUCCAAUAGCAUCCCGUAACAAAGGUGGGUUUGUUUAACGAUGAAGGCUUCAUCCGAGGCCUAAGAAGCGUAAAAGAUAUUCUAGAAGGCUAUUGUAUAAAUAUAUAUAUUUGAAAAGCCAGGUUGUUUGUAAAAAACUUGGUCUAUAAAAAGCGAACGCCUACAAACUUACAAACCGUUUCGCUGUUCCAUUUAUAACCAUACGAUAUUUUUUACACCCUCCUAUAGUCGAUUUCUGCGAUUCCAGCCUCUUUUCCGCGUUUCUCCCCAUAGGCCUAUAUUUAGAAAAAUAUUUCCUGCGAACUAUGCAAGGAACGGUUUGCCAAAAAUAAACACUUGACCCUCCGCCGUGUACCACAUGGUAACUAUGGUAACCGCUAUAGGUUUGCACUUUUAAGGGACGGAUCGGUUUUUCCAUACUCUCACAGAUUUCUCGAACUAUAGUUAUAUUCCAAAAGAUUUUCUAAAAAAUGGGAGGCAAUUAAACCAAAAGGCUUUAUCGGGAUCGGAUUAAACCAUCAUGCAAUUGGUUUUAUUAUCUAAUAAAGAGAUAAUAAAAUAAGACAAAGAAAGUAACCAACUUUCUUUUCCUUUGUUGCAUCAUCGAUAUAGAUUAGUUAAUAGGAAACAUAUGCUUAUCAAUCUCUAGUCCUGCAUCUCUCUAUUUAUUUAUUAUAAAAUAUCCCGGACAGUGCCAUGAGAAUACUCUUAUCAAGGCUAAGCAGACCGUGGCUUGUGGAUGAAAAGAAGGACGACGGUUACACAGCUUUGCACCUAGCAGCUUUAAAUAACCACUUAGAAGUAGCUGAACUCCUAGUUGUUCAGGGAAAAUCAAAUAUGGAUAUUCAGAAUGUUAACGAACAAACAGCACUCCAUCUUGCGGUCGAACGUCAGCAUACGCAGAUAGUAAGACUCCUAGUAAGACAAGGUUGUAAUCUGAACAUUUGUGAUAAAGAUGGAGAUACGCCACUCCAUGAGGCGUUACGUCAUCAUACGCUAUCGCAGUUGCGCCAACUGCAGGAUAUGCACGACGUUGGAAAGUUGCUAAUGGGACUAGGAACACCAGGGACAGACAAAAAGUCUUCUGCGUCUAUCGCCUGUUUUUUGGCGGCUAAUGGAGCAGAUUUACAAAUAAAAAAUAAGAAAGGACAGAGUCCUCUAGAUCUAUGCCCUGAUCCUAAUUUGUGCAAGACUCUAGUUAAGUGUCACAGAGAAAGAGCCCCCCAAAGCCUUCACGCGAACACGCCAUCUUGUGGUAGCGAAAGCGAAAGCGUUGAAGAAUGUAUGGUCUGUUCAGACCUAAGAAGAGAUACUUUAUUCGGGCCAUGUGGCCAUGUAACCACUUGUUCCCUCUGCUCUCCAAGAGUGAAAAAGUGUCUAAUGUGUAAAGAAACAGUACAAUCAAGAACGAAGAUUGAAGAAUGCGUCGUGUGCUCGGACAAGAAGGCUAGCGUUCUCUUCAAGCCUUGCGGCCACAUGUGCGCCUGUCAUACCUGCGGUAGCCUAAUGAAGAAAUGCGUUCAAUGUCGAUCGAAUAUUGACAAGAUGGUGCCAUUUGUUGUAUGUUGCGGCGGAACACCACCACCAGCUCCUUCUACGCCUAGCGCAACAAUAAUGAAUAACGGUAGAGCAGAUAAUUCUAUCAAAGACGUUCAAAAGCUACAGCAACAGCUGCAAGAUAUUAAGGAUCAGACUUGCUGUCCAGUUUGUAUGGAUAGGAUAAAGAAUAUGAUAUUCCUUUGCGGGCACGGAACAUGCCAAUUAUGUGGUGACCGAAUGCAUGAAUGUCCGAUUUGUAGAAAAUCCGUUGAGAAGAGAAUUCUCUUGUAUUAAUCAUAUUGAAAAAGAAGUCUUUAGAAUGAUGUUUAAGUAUUUGAGUUCCACCAUUAACUGUUCCCUCCGAAUCUCUCGUUUAAACAAGAAAUCCUUUAAAAACUCUUAAUUUUUAUCAGCUCAUGUGAAGUAAGUUGCAAUGAGAUUUUUCGUUUGUGGGUUGUAUUUUGGCGAUUGUAUGAAAAAAACGCAAAUUUUAUCCGAAAGGUUGUGUUUGUGUUGCGAUAUAUCCGGUUGUCUGAAAGAAUUUCUAUUUUAUAUUCACAAAUAAACAUAUUAAUUUGAUUUUACGA
rnacentral:misc_RNA from 1 species